ensembl:lncRNA
CUACAGGGCUGCAGGGCUACAGGGUUACAUGGCAACAGGGCUACAGGGUUACAUGGCUACAGGGCUACAGGGUUACAUGGCAACAGGGCUACAGGGUUACAUGGCAACAGGGCUACAGGGUUACAUGGCAACAGGGCUACAGGGUUACAUGGCUACAGGGCUACAGGGCUACAGGGUUACAUGGCAACAGGGCUACAGGGUUACAUGGCUACAGGGCUACAAGGUUACAUGGCAACAGGGCUACAGGGCUACAGGGUUACAUGGCAACAGGGCUACAGGGCUACAGGGGUUACAUGGCAACAGGGCUACAGGGUUACAUGGCAACAGGGCUACAGGGCUACAGGCUAAAACAAUACUUGGCCAGAUCCGAUUGUGGUAUGAUUUUUUUUCUUCUCUCUUUUUGCAAAAAGUAUCAUAAAA